UGUGAGGCUUCCAACCCUGCUGACUCAAAACCAACUCCGCUCAACAUUGAAACGCUCUGCCCUCAAUUGUCCUCACGCUCCACCAUCAAAGGGUCUGGUCGCAAUCCUGUCCCAAUCCUCCUGGUCACAUUGCUAUCAGUUGGGAUAAUAAGUGGUGGUACUUACUGGGCAGUUAAAAUAAUAAAAUGUGGAGCCUGCAAGCAAAGAGAAGAAGCCCAACAUUAUGCUGAUGUGAAAUUUCAGAGAUCGAGGACCUGAGCCCUGGAACCAUGCCUCAGGACCUCCUAGCCCGAUGAUAACAACCUCUCACUUAAUGUGAUCGUGGACUAUAGGAAAAGGAGGGCCGAUCAGGCCCCCAUUAACAUUGACAGGGCUGAAGUGGAGAGUUUCAAGUUCCUUGGUGUCCACAUCACCAACAAACUGUCAUGGUUGAAACACACCAACACAGUUGUGAAGAGGGCACAACAAAACCUUUCCCCCUUAGGAGACUGACAAUAUUUAGCAUGGGUCCCCAGAUCCUCAAAAAGCUCUACAGCUGCACCAUUGAGAGCAUCCUGAGAGGUUGUAUAACCACCUGGUGUGGCAACUGCAUACCCCAUGUGUAUAGCCUCAUUAUUGUUAUGUAAUUUUCUUGUGUUACUUAUGAAUGUUAUUAUUUUUUUUAACUUUAGGUUACUUAGGAAAUGUUUUCUUAAUUCUAAUUCUUGACCUGCAUUGUUGGCUAAGGGCUUGUAAUUAAGCACUUCAAGGUAAGGCCCACAGCUGUUGUAUUCAGCAAGUGACAAAUACAAUUUGAUUUGGCUUGGUUUUUGCUCUGGCAUGCACUGUCAACUGUGGAACCUUAUAUAGACAGCUGUGUGCCUUUCCAAAUCAUGUCAAAUCAAUUAAAUUUACCACAGCUGUACUCCAAUCAAGUUGUAGAAACAGCUCUAGGAUGAUCAAUCCAAACAGGAUCCACCUGAGCUCUAUUUGAGUCUCAUCGCAAAGGGGAUGACUCAUUAUGUAAAUAAGGUAUUUCAGUUUUUGUUAUAUGUAAUGAAUUUACUAAAAUGUAUAAACCCGAUUUUCGCUUUGUCAUUAUAGGGUAUUGUAUGUAGAUUGAGGGAAAUUAAAAUGUAAUCGAUUUUACAAUAAGGCUGUAAGGUAAUAGCAUGUAAAAAAAAAAGGGAAGGAGUCUCAAUACAUCCAAAUGCUCUGUGUUAACUCUGUCUGACCGGGAGCGUAGUGGUUAUGGUGGUUGAUCCUCAAAUGACUUUUUGAGAGUUCAAAUCCCAUGGGAGCAAUUAAUAGUGCAACAUUUUUCUUGUUGCCUUUGUGGGCCUGAAAUAGCAAAUUUGAGGUGUGUAGGGGGACAGGGGCUAGUUCCCAUCAAAUAGCAUGAAAGAAGUGACACCUUGUAUAGAAUGUCCUUAUAAUAGAGUUGUGAUAACAUACAACCCUUUUCUGCAAAAGCCUACUUUUACCUGGGGGCAUGCUUUGUAGACCAUUCAAAGGUGUUCCUAAUAUUGGUCCCCCUAAAGAAACCCACAUGUUAAGAUAGCUUAGAAAUAGUUGUAGCAGUGGUUAAGGUGGUGAAUUCCCAAAGUUGUGAGUUAAAAUCCUUGCAAGAGCAUGCCAACUUGCUUUUGUUGCCUUGACCGAACAAUGUUGAGGUGGGUUUCUGGAAGGACAUUAGACAGCAAGGGAAAUUGGAUUAGAAAAUGUUAGGUUAUAGCAACUGGUGUUGAGUAGGCGUGCUGAGCUACAAUCAAACCCACCCCUGUCCAUAUAAUCUUGUUCCAGAGACAACUGAUUCAGUAUGAUCUAGGCAAAGCUGACCGUAGAACAGUACUCCUCUGUACGCAUUUAUGAAAUGUCUCAGGCUAAGAAUGCUGAACUGGAAUCAGUCUCCCCCCUGUCAAAGUAAUGUUAUUCAUUCUACUCAGAAAUACUAAACAGAUCCAAGUUUAGCACUCUUACUUCAAGCCACUAAGUGAAUGUUGGGUCUUGGGUGCUAAAUAUCUUGAACAGUGGUUGAAAAAGUACCCAAUUGUCAUACUUGAGUAAAAGUAAAGAUAUACGAAUAGAAAAUGACUCAAGUGAAAGUCACCCAGUAAAAUACUAAGUAAACGCCAUUGCUAAAAUACACUUAAGUAUCAGUGGUAAAGUAUAAAUGAUUUGACCUUCCUUAUAUUAAGCAAACUAGACAGCACGAUUCUCUUGUUUUUUUUAUUGAAUAAAUAGCCAUGGGAACACUCCAACACUCAGACAUAAUUUACAAACGAAGCAUGUGUGUAGUGAGUCUGCUAGACCAGAGGCAGUAGGGAUGACCAGGGAUGUUCUCUUAUUAAGUGUGUGAAUUGGACCAUUUUCCUGUCCGGCUAAGCAUUUGAAAUGCAACAAGUACUUUUGGGUGUCAGGGAAACUGUAUGGAGUAAAAAAAUACAUUAUUUUCUUUAGAAAUGAAGUCAAAUUAAAAGUUGUAAAGAAAUAGAAAGAGUAAAAGUACAGAUACAAAAAAACUGACUUAAGUAGUACUUUCAAGUGUUUUUACAUAAUGGAAAAUGUAUGGAGUAAAAAGUAAAUUUUCUUUAGGAAUGUAGUGGAGUCCCAAGGCCAGUAGUUGACAAGCAUUUCCCUCUAGCAAUGUAAAAAUGUCCUUGAAUGUACAUGACCCAUCUGAAUGUAUAUAUAUAAAUAUACAUGUAGUAUAUUGUAUUUAAAGUAGUGGAGUACUUUAAAUACAUUUUUGUUAAGUAAUUUACACCACUGGACUUGAAAGGAACACCUUAAUUACCUUGACUCACCGGUUCCCCGCACAUUGACUGUUGCACAUAUAUAUAGCCUCGCUAUUGUUAUUUUACUGCUGCUCUUUUAAUUAUUUGUUACUUUAAUUUCUUAUUUUUAAUUAACACGUAUUUUUCUUAACUAAAUUGUUGGUUAAGGGCCUGUAAGUCAGCAUUUCACUGUAAGGUCUACACAUGUAGUAUUUGGCGCAUCUGACAAAUACAAAUGGAUUUGUUACACA